GACGAACGCUGGCGGCGUGCCUAAUACAUGCAAGUCGAGCGCUGAAGGUUGGUACUUGUACCAACUGGAUGAGCCGCGCACGUGUGAGUAACGCGUGUAGCCUCUGCCUUUGAGCGGGGUACCACAUGUGGAAACGAAUUCUAAUACCGCAUAAAAACUUUAAACACAAGUUUUAAUUUUGAAAGAUGCCAUUUCAUCACUCAAACAUGAUCCCGCGUUGUAUUAGUUAGUUGGUGAGGUAAAAGCUCACUAAGGCGAUGAUACAUAGCCGACCUGACAGGGUGGUCAGCCACCUUGGGACGGAGACCCGCCCCAUACUCCUUCGGGAGGCAGCAGUACGGCAUCUUCGGGAAUAGGCGAAAGACUGUCCAAGCAACGCCGAAUGCGUGAACAGCGUUGUCGGAUCGUGAAACUCGGUUGGUAGGGAGGAACGCUCGUGCGAGUGGAACGCUCAGUAAGUGACGGUAACUACCAAGAAAGCAACGGCUAACUACGUG
rnacentral:rRNA from 1 species